AAGCAAAUACGUCGGCAUUGGCCGUCAGCAGCUCCGUCAGUCGGCGUCGUUCGGCGUCGGGCAAUUGAGACCCGACCCAAACUUUCCUGUCGGGACCUUCUCCUAUCGGGAUCGCCUCGAGCUGCUCGGCCGGCGAACCUCGUUCUUCCUCCUCCCGUUGGUCCAGCUUGUCGAUCGUCAGAGAACCCCUCGACUCGUCGCUUUGAGCGGAGAUUUGGAAGCAUCGUCGGGCGAGCUGUUGAUCUCCGCGCAUCUCCCCGAUUCCGUUUUUGGUCGGGAACCGAACAAGGAGAUGGUACGUCGAGACGAUCGCCUUGAGGGCGUUCAAUCCGGGUCGUCCAAGUAUGGCGUUGUAAGCCGAAGGAACUUGGACGACCGCGAAAGUGAGGGAGACCGUGCUUUGCCGUGGUUCGGUGCCGACCGUCACGGGCAGGGUGAUUUCUCCUUCUGUCGUGACGGCGUCUCCGGUAAAGCCGAUCAAGG
rnacentral:lncRNA from 1 species